rnacentral:rRNA from 1 species
GACGAACGCUGGCGGCGUGCUUAACACAUGCAAGUCGAACGGUAAGGCCCCUUCGGGGGUACACGAGUGGCGAACGGGUGAGUAACACGUGAGCAACCUGCCCUUGACUCUGGAAUAACAGUUGGAAACAGCUGCUAAUACUGGAUAUUCAUCGUCUCCUUCCUGGGGGGUGGUGGAAAGCUCCGGCGGUCGGGGAUGGGCUCGCGGCCUAUCAGCUUGUUGGUGAGGUAAUGGCUCACCAAGGCUUCGACGGGUAGCCGGCCUGAGAGGGCGACCGGCCACACGGGGACUGAGAUACGGCCCAGACUCCUACGGGAGGCAGCAGUGGGGAAUAUUGCACAAUGGGCGCAAGCCUGAUGCAGCAACGCCGCGUGCGGGAUGACGGCCUUCGGGUUGUAAACCGCUUUCAGUAGGGACGAAGGGUGACUGACGGUACCUACAGAAGAAGGACCGGCUAACUACGUG